UAUAAGAAAUUAUUCCUGUGGUGUUAAAACCAACAAGGAUAACACCACAGCUCAAUGGCUACCAGCAGCUGCAGGAGGUUUUGCAGCUCUCCUGUUAAUAAUAAUAAUACUUCUCACUGUGUUCUGCUGCCAGAGAAAAAAGAAGGCUUCCAGUCAUUCUCCAAAGAGUGAAAUAUCAGACAACAAACAGCAGGUCAGCCUUAAUCCCAUAUAUGGAAACAACCCAGCUCAGCACAGCAGGAUGCUUGACACCAUGAACCACGAAGCUCAUCUCUAUCCCAAUGAAGUUGAUCUCUAUUCCAAUGGUGCUAGUCUCUACUGUAACCUCUAAUAUUGAGUCAUUGCCUACAAGAAAAGCACCACAGUUGAUGAGUCCAGAGUGUUAAACAAUCACAGUCUAUAGUGGAAAUAUAAGGUAAAAUACAGUAGAAAUUAGUAAAAAAGUAAAAAUGCAUAGGGUAUUCAAUUUAAAGAUAGCCUACGAUAUUACAUGUUGCAAAAAACCUGGAAAGUGCAUCACAACAUAAAAAUGCUAUUGUUAACUUUGUCAGAGACGCCAGCUGUACUACUUUGUGAGCUUUGUGUUGCUUUGUGAAUUUAUAACAUUAUCUGGAAAGUGACUGUAAAACUGAACUUUAAAGUCA